rnacentral:lncRNA from 1 species
GAAAUUUUUUCCCGCCAAUGAAUUAUCAACGAAAUUUUGCAACGACUUAUGAAUUUUGUUGCAAAAAGUGAAAGCCUGACACAAUCUGCAACGAAGGACAAAUUUCGUUGCUAAACAUAUACUUUUAGCAAUGACUUAUAAAGUCGUUGCCCGAAAAAUCGUUGCUAAAGGCCCAUUUUUUUGUAGUGAGAUGACUUUCAACAUAAUAUAAACAUGAGGAUGAUGGCAAUGAUAUAAGAAUUUUAUAAAACAAGUU